GGGACCGGAAUGCUUAUAUAAAAGGUAUUCCUGUGCCGCAGUCUCUACUCAAACACAUCAUAACAAUGAUUCCCCUACUCUUAGCUGUCGUGUUUUCGGUGUCAUCAGCCGCCCUAACUGCAGAUGGCCAAGUCGGCUGUUUCUUUGACGGUCACGUCUACGAGAAGGGUGAAAUGGUUAUACCCAAGGGAUGCCUGUCUGAAAUGACCUGUUUAGGUAACAACAUAUACAGCGAACUUCAUCUGCUGGGAGGGAUCUGUCCGACAGAGAAACGUACCGUAGACGGACAAAGUG